AGUACACUGAAGCACUAAGGAGAAAACUAAUAGGGGAGAGAGUGUGUCCAAGAUUUUGGGCUACAGCAAAAGACUGAAAUCUUCCAAGGCAUGGAUCUUCAAGAGUAGGAUAAAUCAUGGAUGAAGCCAAAACACUCUUCAGUGUGGACAAGCAGGGGAGAAGGACCAUGGGUGGGAGAAACUCCAAAGAGGGCUCAUGCCAUCACGUCUGCUCAGCCCUCGUGUCAGUUCCAGCUGCCUGUCGAGACAAGAAGGGCUAGGGUAGGAGGGACAGCUGCCACUUCAAUACAACCUUAGUCAGGAGGCACCUUGUGGAGUGCCCAGCUGAUACAAUAGAAGACCGAGCUCAUAUAAUACCUGAUUUCCCAAGCUCCCAAUCUUAUGGAUAAUUGUUGCCCAGAGGGGAAAUUUCUUCCCAGGCUACAUCAG